rnacentral:rRNA from 1 species
AAGCUCGUAGUUGAAUUUCGGGAUUGACGUGACGGCCGUGCCUUACGGGGUAUGAACUGUCGCCGUUGAUUUCUCACCUUCUGGAGAAGCUCGAUGUCCUUAAUUGGGUGUCUUGCGGAACCAGGACCUUUACCUUGAAAAAAUUAGAGUGUUUAAAGCAGGCAUUUUGCUCGAAUACAUUAGCAUGGAAUAAUAGAAUAGGACGGCAUGGUUCUAUUUUGUUGGUUUCUAGGAUCACCGUAAUGAUUAAUAGGGAUAGUUGGG